UACAGAGGUCUCAAGCGUUGUUCGGAUUCAUUGGGCGUAAAGGGUGCGUAGGUGGCGUCGUAAGUCGGGUGUGAAAUUUCGGAGCUUAACUCCGAAACUGCAUUCGAUACUGCGGUGCUUGAGGACUGGAGAGGAGACUGGAAUUUACGGUGUAGCAGUGAAAUGCGUAGAGAUCGUAAGGAAGACCAGUGGCGAAGGCGGGUCUCGUGGACAGUUCCUGACACUGAGGCACGAAGGCCAGGGGAGCAAACGGG
rnacentral:rRNA from 1 species